rnacentral:rRNA from 1 species
UACGGAGGGUGCGAGCGUUGUCCGGAAUCACUGGGCGUAAAGGGCGCGUAGGUGGCGCGGGCAGUCAACGGUGAAAGUUCGGGGCUCAACCCUGAAUCGGCCGUCGAUACUCCCGGGCUUGAGCACUGUAGAGGCUAAUGGAAUUCCGGGUGUAGCGGUGGAAUGCGUAGAGAGUCCGGAAGAGCACCGGUGGCGAAGGCGGUUAGCUGGGCAGUUGCUGACACUGAGGCGCGACAGCGUGGGGAGCAAACAGG